AGGGGGAGAAUGUGUUCCUGAUGCCAAAGUUUGGAGGAAGAUCACCUCGCCAUCUUGAGGGAGGAAAACAUGGACCUCCAAAGAGCGGGCAAUAUGUCAAGCUCAUGUACAACACCACAAUGCCGAACAAAGUCUCCAUUGAGUACGGAGUUUUCAGUCGUACAACACCUGCUCAGCUCAUUGGAGAAGAGGAAGAGGAUUCAGAAGAAAGUGGCUGGUAACUAUAAAAGGAUGAAACUAGCAGUUCCAAAUGUUAUUCUUCGACUUCAUAAAGUCUUAAAGGAGCUUAUGAUUCAUUUUUCUGUGGUAUUUCCUGGGAAACCAUUUAUUUGACAUUUUCCUGUAUCACACAACUUCUA